rnacentral:rRNA from 1 species
UACGAAGGGGGCUAGCGUUGCUCGGAAUCACUGGGCGUAAAGCGCACGUAGGCGGCUUUCUAAGUCAGGGGUGAAAUCCUGGAGCUCAACUCCAGAACUGCCUUUGAUACUGGAGAGCUUGAGUCCGGGAGAGGUGAGUGGAACUCCGAGUGUAGAGGUGAAAUUCGUAGAUAUUCGCAAGAACACCAGUGGCGAAGGCGGCUCACUGGCCCGAUACUGACGCUGAGGUGCGAAAGCGUGGGGAGCAA